rnacentral:rRNA from 1 species
UGGGGAAUAUUGCACAAUGGGCGCAAGCCUGAUGCAGCGACGCCGCGUGGGGGAUGACGGCCUUCGGGUUGUAAACUCCUUUCGCUAGGGACGAAGCGCAAGUGACGGUACCUAGAGAAGAAGCACCGGCUAACUACGUGCCAGCAGCCGCGGUAAUACGUAGGGUGCGAGCGUUGUCCGGAAUUACUGGGCGUAAAGAGCUCGUAGGUGGUUUGUCGCGUCGUUUGUGUAAGCCCGCAGCUUAACUGCGGGACUGCAGGCGAUACGGGCAUAACUUGAGUGCUGUAGGGGAGACUGGAAUUCCUGGUGUAGCGGUGGAAUGCGCAGAUAUCAGGAGGAACACCGAUGGCGAAGGCAGGUCUCUGGGCAGUAACUGACGCUGAGGAGCGAAAGCAUGGGGAGCGAACAGG